AAAGUACUCCCUCUGUCUCAAAAUUCUUGUCUUAGAUUUAUCUAGAUACGGAUGUAUCAAGUCACAUUUUAGUAUUAGAUACAUUCGUAUCUAGACAAAUCUAAGACAAGAAAUUUGGGACAGAGGGAGUAGUUG
rnacentral:pre_miRNA from 1 species